UCCACCUGGAGAUCCUUUCACACCGAGCGGAAGACAGAACCAGCCACAGGUUUCAUCGAUGGUGACUUGAUUGAGAGUUUCCUGGAUAUCAGCCGCCCCAAGAUGCAGGAGGUGGUGGCAAACCUACAGUAUGACGAUGGCAGCGGUAUGAAGCGAGAGGCCACUGCAGACGACCUCAUCAAGGUUGUGGAGGAGCUAACUCGGAUCCAUUAGCCAAGGGCAGGGGGCCCCCUUUCUGACCCUCCCCAAAGGCUUUGCCCUGCUGCCCUCCCCCUCCUCUCCACUAUUGUCUUCUUGGCCAUGGGAGGCCUUUCCCUAAGCCAGCUGCCCCCAGAGCUGUAGUUCCCCUACGUGGAAGUGGGGCGGGCUUCAUAGAGACCUGGGAAUGAGCUGAAGGUGAAACAUUUUCUCCCUGGAUUUUUACCAGUCUCACACGAUUCCAGCCAUCACCUUGGACCACCAAGCCUUGAUUGGUGUUGCCAGUUGUCCUCCUUCCAGGGAGGGAUUUUGCAGUUCUUUGGCUGAAAGGAAGCUGUGUGUGUGUGUGUGUGUGUGUGUGUGUGUGUGUGUAUGUGUGUGUGUGUAUAUCUCACACCCAUGCAUUGUCCUCUCUUUAUUUAGAUUGGCAGUGUAGGGAGUUGUGGGUAGUGGGGAAGAGGGUUGGGAGGGUUUCAUUGUCUGUGAAGUGAGACCUUCCUUUUACUUUUCUUCUAUUGCCUCUGAGAGCAUCAGGCCUAGAGGCCUGCCAGGCCAUGGGCAGCCUGUGUGUAAAACCUGGAGACGGUGGAUGAUCCCCACACCACAGCCCUUUUGUCUCUGCAAACUGCCUUCUUCGGAAAGAAGGAGGUGGGAGGAUGUGAAUUGUUAGUUUCUGAGUUUUACCAAAUAAAGUAGAAUCUAAGAAGAAAGGUA